CAGGUCUUGACAUCCCACUGACCGGCUUAGAGAUAGGCUUUUCCCUUCGGGGACAGUGGUGACAGGUGGUGCAUGGUUGUCGUCAGCUCGUGUCGUGAGAUGUUGGGUUAAGUCCCGCAACGAGCGCAACCCUUGAUCUUAGUUGCCAGCAUUCAGUUGGGCACUCUAAGGUGACUGCCGGUGAUAAACCGGAGGAAGGCGGGGAUGACGUCAAAUCAUCAUGCCCCUUAUGACCUGGGCUACACACGUGCUACAAUGGACGAUACAAAGGGCUGCAAACCCGCGAGGGGGAGCCAAUCCCAUAAAAUCGUUCUCAGUUCGGAUUGUAGGCUGCAACUCGCCUACAUGAAGCCGGAAUCGCUAGUAAUCGUGGAUCAGCAUGCCACGGUGAAUACGUUCCC
rnacentral:rRNA from 1 species